UUAUCCUACGGGGCGCAGCAGUGGGGAAUAUUGCACAAUGGGGGAAACCCUGAUGCAGCAACGCCGCGUGAAGGAAGACGGUUUUCGGAUUGUAAACUUCUGUUCUUAGUGAAGAAGAAUGACGGUAGCUAAGGAGCAAGCCACGGCUAACUACGUGCCAGCAGCCGCGGAAAUACGUAGGUGGCAAGCGUUGUCCGGAAUUACUGGGUGUAAAGGGAGCGCAGGCGGGAAGCCAAGUCAGCUGUGAAACCUACGGGUCUAACUUGUAGACUGCAGUUGAACCUGGU
rnacentral:rRNA from 1 species